rnacentral:rRNA from 1 species
GAUGAACGCUGGCGGCGUGCCUAAUACAUGCAAGUCGAGCGAACAGACGAGGAGCUUGCUCCUCUGACGUUAGCGGCGGACGGGUGAGUAACACGUGGAUAACCUACCUAUAAGACUGGGAUAACUUCGGGAAACCGGAGCUAAUACCGGAUAAUAUAUUGAACCGCAUGGUUCAAUAGUGAAAGACGGUUUUGCUGUCACUUAUAGAUGGAUCCGCGCCGCAUUAGCUAGUUGGUAAGGUAACGGCUUACCAAGGCAACGAUGCGUAGCCGACCUGAGAGGGUGAUCGGCCACACUGGAACUGAGACACGGUCCAGACUCCUACGGGAGGCAGCAGUAGGGAAUCUUCCGCAAUGGGCGAAAGCCUGACGGAGCAACGCCGCGUUAGUGAUGAAGGUCUUCGGAUCGUAAAACUCUGUUAUUAGGGAAGAACAAAUGUGUAAGUAACUAUGCACGUCUUGACGGUACCUAAUCAGAAAGCCACGGCUAACUACGUG